rnacentral:lncRNA from 1 species
GUUGUACGUUGAUAGAAGACAGGAAAAUGUGAGUUGUACGUUGAUAGAAGACAGGAAAAUGUGAGUUGUACGUUGAUAGAAGACAGGAAAAUGUGAGUUGUACGUUGAUAGAAGACAGGAGAGGAAACAAUUUCAUUUAAAAAUACCGACACGUGAUAAAAUACCGCGAUUGUUUGUAUUGCUGAUAAGCUGACCUUUUCUGUACGUGCAAAAUGACGGCCGGCUGAUUUGAGGCAGCGACCGGAAGCAUGUUAAAGACAAGAACAGCUUCUAAACUUACCGAAAC